GACGAACGCUGGCGGCGUGCUUAACACAUGCAAGUCGAACGGUGAAGCGCCUUCCUUUUUGGUGGGUGUGGAUGAGUGGCGAACGGGUGAGUAACACGUGAGUAACCUGCCCCCUUCUUCUGGAUAACCGCAUGAAAGUGUGGCUAAUACGGGAUAUUCUGGGUCUGUCGCAUGAUGGGUCUGGGAAAGAUAUUGUUUCGGUGGGGGAUGGGCUCGCGGCCUAUCAGCUUGUUGGUGGGGUGAUGGCCUACCAAGGCGGUGACGGGUAGCCGGCCUGAGAGGGUGGACGGUCACACUGGGACUGAGACACGGCCCAGACUCCUACGGGAGGCAGCAGUGGGGAAUAUUGCACAAUGGGCGCAAGCCUGAUGCAGCGACGCCGCGUGAGGGAUGGAGGCCUUCGGGUUGU
rnacentral:rRNA from 1 species